GCUGGGUCAGGAUGUUCAGACCUCCUCAGCACCCCCUCCCCACCCAGUCUCCACCUCGGGGAAGGGAGUGGUGGCUUGGGCCACCGUGGAGGGGAGGGAGGGCACUAAUUGGAUUGGAACACUCCUGAAACACAUCAGCUGCUCCUCCCUGGGGGAGGGGGAGGAGGAAAGCUGCAGACUGUCUUUGUGAUCGGCUCAGCCUCUCCCUCCCAGCAGCCUCGCCCUGACCUGGUCCUCACUGGCCUCUGCCCACCUAUCGCUGUCCUGGGGCACAAUGGCAAGAUCUUUGUAAAAUGGAGGAGGCAGACACCGGAUCAGAUAAUCACCAAAAUGAAAUUCAGCCUUGAUAUGAAGGCCCCCCGUCUUUCCAGCACCUUUUCUCAUCAGCUCAGCUAUGCCAACCUGGUCUUCCUUAAACCUUGGGAGCAUUUGCUUUUUCCUAUUUCAUUUGGCACCCAGAGAGCUGCUCAUCAUUUAAGCGUGUGUGUGCUCACCAAUUAAACUACAAUAUAAACUUUAAGAGGCAGGACCCAUGUUAUCAUUGUCAUGGCCCACCUUGACCAUGAAGAACGAGACAGGCCAGGCGCAGUGGCUCACGCCUGUAAUCCCAGCACUUUGGGAGGCCGAGGCGGGCGGAUCACGAGGUCAGGAGAUGGAGACCAUCUUGGCUAACACGGUGAAACCCCGUCUCUAUUAAAAAUACCAAAAAAUUAGCUGAGCAUAGUGGCGGGCGCCUGUAGUCCCAGUUACUCAGGAGGCUGAGGCAGGAGAAUGGUGUGAACCCGGGAGGCAGAGCUUGCAGUGAGCCGAGAUCGCGCCACUGCACUCCAGCCUGGGCGACAGAGUGAGACACCAUAUCAAAAAGAAAAAAAAAAAAAAAGAACAAGACAGAGUUUUACAGACCUGCUUGAAUUUAGGUGCCAGUGAUCUUUGUCAACAUAGUCAUCACCCUGGGAGGCCUCUGGCGUUGCCUUUGCAACAACUGUUUUAGAUUGGCCUUCAGAGACUAGUAAAACCUCUCCUGGGACUAGGGAGGGGAGGAGAUUCAGUGACAGCCUGAGUGACAGUAAGCAAACAGGUGGGCUACAGAGAAAGUGGACGACUACUCA
rnacentral:lncRNA from 1 species